rnacentral:ncRNA from 2 species
AAAGUUCAAGACUAUACCCUCAGAUGUGUCUACUAGUCUGGGCUCAAUCACAGAUUAGGGGCAACAUCUGGGCUAGAGCCUGAGCUAAUUC